rnacentral:rRNA from 1 species
CCUACGGGAGGCAGCAGUGGGGGAUAUUGGACAAUGGGGGAAACCCUGAUCCAGCGACGCCGCGUGAGUGAAGAAGUAUUUCGGUAUGUAAAGCUCUGUCAGCAGGGAAGAAAGAAAUGACGGUACCUGACCAAGAAGCCCCGGCUAACUACGUGCCAGCAACCGCGGUAAUACGUAGGGGGCAAGCGUUAUCCGGAAUUACUGGGUGUAAAGGGAGCGUAGACGGGGAUGCAAGUCUGGAGUGAAAGGGGGGGGCCCAACCCCCGGACUGCUCUGGAAACUGUGUAACUUGAGUGAAGGAGGGGGAAGCGGGAUUCCUAGUGGAGCGGUGAAAUGCGUAGAUAUUAGG